AUGACCUGAACUGAAGUCAGACGCUUAACCGACUAAGACACCCAGACGCCCCCAUAAAGACAAUAUUUUCAAAGAAGAUUUGGCAACAGAGCCCUGAUAAAAUGUCAAGUUCAAAGGUAAGAUGGGGACUUGUCCAAUCAUGAUCACUCAGAACUGCCCGGUGUUUUCUACGCAUCUGGCUGGUACGGACGUGACAUAUAUAUCACCUCACUUAAACCCCUAGCAACCCUAUGAGGCAGACGCUAUGAUUCUAAUUUUGCAGGUGAAAGAAUGUGCACAGGAAGCAAUUUGUUCAGGUUACAGAGCCAGUGAGCGGUGGGACCAGGUUUCAGACCUGGAGUCAGGCUCCGGAGGCCACGCUUAUAACCUUGACCCACACAGCCUCUCACUGCCUGUGGGGCAGGAGCCCACAGGGUGGUGUGUGUGCGUGUGUGUGUGUGUGUGUGUGUGUGUGUGUGUGUGUAGUUUUGGUGAAACCUCCAAAAGAGUGUUAGUGGUUAUGCCUGGGUGGUGGUUUGUAGUUUCUUCUUUACCUCUUUUCGCUAAUUCCUCAAGCAUUUGCAGCAAGCAGUGCUUUUAAGGAGCCAGUGAUGAAAGGCGACAGCAGCAGUUUCCCGAAAUUACAGAUCGCUUUAAUCUACUUUGGGAACCAGGAGAUAUAUAAAAACGUUUCAAGACAGCAUGGGCCAACUGCAUGGCACAGAUGGAUCCUUUAGCCGGGGAGGAGAAGGAACAAAGGCGGAGAACAGAAGAUCAGCCCAGGGGAAGCAGAGGAUUUACAUAGGAUGCGAUGGGACAUAAAGAAAGCUAAUUGGUGACAGAAUAUGGAGGGCCCUGAAUACCCAGCAAGAAAGUUUGCAUUACGAAUGGUAUUGCUCGUAAGAGUGGAAAAUUUUUAAUGACUUAAAUACUCAUCAAAGGGACAAUGUACGCAUUUCUAUGGCAUAUUUAUCCAAAGUGUGGCGAGGAUGCGGUGAAAAUUUUGAGCGGAAGGCUUGGUCACAGCCAGGUUCGGGGGACGUUUCGUCCAGCACGGGAGGAUGGGAGAACGAGCUGGAAGGAAGAUGACCAGUUGGGUGACUGUUUCUGUAAACUCGAUGUGGAGAGAGGAGGCCUUGAUGGGGCCACGGAGAAUGGAAAGGACACGAAAGACAAAGGCUUAAGGAGAAAAGCAGUGGGAUGCAGUUGAUAAGCAUGCGUGUUAGAGCCGUUGACUUGGUGCUACUGAUGGCAAUGACUCUGGCUUUCAGAUCUAAUGAUUGCAUAGGGGUUUUUUAAUGUUUAUUUAUUAAA